CUCUCAUGAUGUUAGAGUGAUCUAUUUUGAGUAAAGCAUGUCAUUAAAAUUCAUGUAAAUUUAUCCAACACUCUUAUUUCAAACAACUUUUAUUUCUUUUUUAGAAAAAGAUACAAGGAAGAUCACUAUGAUGACUAUGGUGAUGAAAAAGAAAGGGAAUACCUUCGCGAUGAUGCGGACAGAGAUGGAAAAUAUGACGAUUACAGGAAUUCGGAUUACAACAGAGACUCAUAUAGGGACGAUUAUAAUCGGGAUAAUGAUAGAGACUAUUAUCGUGACAAUGAUCGUGAUUCAUACCGAGAUGAUAAUGACAGGGACUCUUACCGAGAUGAUCAUGAUGAUGAUCGUCAUGACGACUAUGAUGACAGAGGUUAUGCUAGGAAAGACAGAGAUAGAUAUGAUGACAAAUAUGAUGAUCAAGGUCGAGGAGCGACCAAUUAUGACGAGCCAGACGACCAAAGUUUCCAUGAUGACAGGAAAGGGUACGGGGAAUACAAUGAUGAGCGCUCAAAGUUCGACAAAAGUGGUGCCCCGGUCCCGGCCCCUAGACCACUUUAUAAACCUCGAUCUGUCACUGAUCUAUAAAUAACCACCUCAAUGCUAAGGGCAAAUGAAUACUGUACGAUUUUAUAUGUCAUCAUUUCAGAAUGCUACAUUCCAUAUUGUUAACUAUGAAGCCAUGUACUUACAUUUAAUGUAGUAUAGUUAACUAUUUUUAUAUUGUAAAUAUCAUAUUGUUAGUAAGAAUUGUAAAUGUAUGCGAUGUUCAUUAUAUACAUUAAGGUUUUAUAAUAUCAAUCAAACAGUUUAAAGGAUUCCAUUUUGUCAUUAAAAUACAUAUCAUGUUAUAUAAUGUGUUACAUUAUUUUGUAAGUUGUUUAUUUACAUUUGGAGAGAACAGUUAUAUUGUUAUGUGGAUAAUGAAUUGAGGUCUUGCUUGCACUGUUAAACAUUUAUUUCAUAGAUAUGUUAUCAUUUAUGACAAAUAUUUUGAAUGUAUUCAUUUAUGUUCAUAAACUUCUUACAAACAUAUAGAUGUACAUAUUAAACGUAUAAUGUCUCCAUACCUCAAGGCAACUUGCACUGCAAUAUAUUCACCACUCACACUUACUAUGCAUUAAGCAUUCACAUAUAUUGUUAUUAAUUAGAAUCCAUCAGUAGUUUCAUUGUGUAGUUUAUUAGAUUAGAUUCUCCGAUUUGUUUAAAACUUCUUAGCUUAUUAAUUUCAUUUAUUCCUGAAUUGUUUAAACAUGAUACACUGGUGUCAUUUGCACAUUGAACACUUCCACUGAUGUGUGCCAUCCCCACCAUAUUGAAUGUGCAUAUACAGUGUACUAUUUAACCUGCAUAAUAACAAUGUCUGUUGAAUCCCCUCUCUACAAAUGUCUAUUGUUCCAGUGCUAUGACUUUGAUGUCACUUUAAUUCCUCAUUUUACUUUAAUACUACUUGCAUUUAAUAUAUUUAUUUCUAUAAUGUGUUUAAUAAUACUUAACACAGAAGUUUGUAAAGAAUGAACUCCUGCAAUUUCCUUUAGUUUUAAUUGACAUGUAAAACUUCACACCACUGUAAGUACAUGUUUUCAUCAACUAUGUAUAAAUUCCAUGAAAUGGGGGCAGAAUAUUUAUGAAUCUAUUUAUGUGUUAACAGCGUGUUGUACAAAUCCUAGUAAGAGUAGAGAUUUAAACUUUGUUUAAGAAUUUGAAUGAUUUUGCCAAAAGAAUAAUGUACUGACUAUAUGACUGUCAUGCAACAAUACAAUAGUUUAUAAAUACAUGUAUGUUUAGGGACAUCUAGAUUUUUAUUUUAGUUUUACAAACAAUUUUUUGGAAAUAGUUUGUAAGUGUGUUUAAAAACUCUGAUUCCAUGUCAUAUUCCUAGUCAUAAAUUCACUAAAUGCUACUAAUGUACUUUGCUGACUAAGUUCAAAAUGAAGGUUGUCCUAAAAACCUGUUUCAUGCAGUUUGUUACAUGACCUCAUAUUGUCACACACACAAUUUUCAAAUAUUGCUCAUCUGUUUUUGAAAAAUAGUAGUCAUAGUAUUUGGAUGGUAUUGGUGUUGCAUUAUCUGUCUACAAAAGCUUUGUCAAAGUUCUGACUCCCACACAUCAGAGAGUAUGUGAGAAAUGCAGGCGGGUAAGCUCAGUUGGUAGAGCACCUGGCUUGUAAGCAGAGGGACAUGGUUUUGAUCCCCAGUCUGGGCACACACUUUUCUAAGUCGGUGACAUUAAACCUUGUCCAUCAACCAUUUAAGAUAUUGGGAUGCAACUUAGAACACAUGGUGCCAGAAACUAUAUGCACUUGUGGUAGCAGCGUCCUUAAUUUUGGCUUUAAUAAUUGUUAAGUCAAACCCCUUCUUACUGAAAAAACAACAACAGACAAUUAUAGGCAUUGCUUUUGUUAUAUUAAACAGGGACUAGUAAUAGUUUUGAAAUGAACAUAACCACAUAAAAUGUUUGAUCUCAAACCUAGAACUCAAUGAGUUGAAAUGCUGAACUUGAAAUAUGAAGGAAUUAAAUUGAUAAAUUUAUCUUUUAUUGGCCACCAAAAGUGUCUUGCCAGUACUAUAUCUACUUGCACAAUGUGUUCUCAUUCAAGCUUGUCAAUUAAUAAUGAACUUGUAGAUUUGUCAUUCCAUCUUGAGAAUAUGUGUUGAAUCUCAGGCAACUUAGAAAUUUAGUAUAUUUAAUGAAUAGUAUAUUUACCAUGUAUAGUACUAAAUCAUUCAUUCAUUAAGCACACCAUCAUUUUGGUAUCACAAAACCUGAAGAAAUUGUAUAUAUGUAUAAUGUAUUAUGAAUAUUAUAUAUUUCAUUGUUUUCUUUUUUACAGCUACAGUCUUCCUUUUAGAAAAAAAUCCAUUCCUGCUUAUGUUAGGGGACAUAAUUUUAUGUGACACUUGUGUUAAACACAAUAAACUGUACAUGUGCAUGCUGUAAGUUGACAUAAUUGUUGAGUAUCUUACAGAAAGCAUGGCAAUUAUGGCCAAUUUAAUUUCUCAGUUUUCUGCAGAGUUGACACUUGUCUACAAGUUAUGGUAUAAGCUAAUAUCAAUUCAAUUUCUUGUUUAUGUUAUGGUAUAAGCUGACAAUUCAAUUUGUACACGCACACAAUAAAUGUGCAAUAGUCAAUCAUUCUGAGCAAAUUCAUUUUUACAAUAGAAUAAGAUUUACUGCGUUUUUGCUUGAAGUGCAUCAUUGCAAUGCUUUAUGUUCUGUUCCAAUCUGUCCCUUCUGCUCUAUGCAUUGGCUUAUUUUAUAUUAGUGCUUAAACAUGGACAGUUAGUAGUUGUAGUUACUGUGCAAGGAUCUUUUGAAUAACUAUUUCACAACUAUAUACACAUCAAUUUCACAUACUGCUCAUUAUAUGUGCAUUAUGUUUUCAACUCAACUCUUUUUGAAUUAAAUGACCUCAAAUGAG